CCGAACUGGCCAAGUUACCGUGAUGACGGCGGGAAUGCUGUCGGGGAAGGAGGUGACUGAGAAGGCGGACGGCAUCGUGCCCGGAAACACCGCCCUCGCCGCCGCCGUCAGGCUGAGCCCGCCCGACUACCGUCAGGCACAGUGUUCCCUGCACCUGAGUGGAAAGAUCCGGAAAGAUCCAAAGUGACCCCGCACGUGCAGUGCAGACUGUUUCCCGCAAAGCCGACACCCUUAUUCUCUCCCGACUUCCGCCCAGGAGGUGACUGCCCCUCCGGCGGUGCCCCCAGUCCCCGGAGCGGCGCUCAGGCCCGGGGGUGGGAGUGGGGGGCCGGGGGGCCGGGGCGCCAGGUGAGCGGGCGUCCACGGGCUCACAGCGGAGCCGCAGUUUAACGGGGGCGCCAGCAGGUGGCAGCACGAGGCCGGUACCAGGUCCCGCGCUGUGGGAUCUGGUCCACCUUUUUCACGAUGUUUGCAACAAAAUGAGUUUUCAUAUAUUCGUACCUGUUGAACGGAGAGGUUUUAAUCAACACCAUUGGACUUUAGACAAAGACCUUUCAUGCAAAAGGAGAAAGAAGAGUUCGGGGAAACAAGUGUAGUUCCUGUCUUCUUCGGGGACAUUGAAUCAGUAACAAUAUGUUACCAAUGGAGGAGGUUCAGGUUUCUCUUUCUGUAAAGGAGACAGACACGCACAGGACACGGUUCUGUCUGUGGAAACCGUCUUCGUUCACAGAGUCCCGAGGAGAGCAUCCAAGAGACCCCCGCGAGGGGUGUGGCGUGGCGAGGGCAGAAGGCUGGCCCCUGGGUGCAGUGUCUCAUCGCUGUCCCACCGUAGAAGAAGUCCAGCCUCCUUUUCAUCAAAUUGUCUUUCAGAGCAUGCCCACCAGGUCACACAGCCCAUCAGAGUGACUAGGGGUCAAAGGGCACGCCUUAUAGUUUAGAAGACUAUGGGACCGCUGACGCAGUCCGGUCAUUUCCAGAUUACUUCCUCGGACUUAAUGGGUCAUAAUUGAUGGAGGAAUGUGCGCUGGCACUCCAUUUUCACGAGGAUAAUGAUACGCUGAAGGAAUAAUGACUGGCUAACAGGAGUCACCAAGGUGAGAGAGCUCACAAACAUUCGUAUGUCUGUCUCUCCCGAGCUCCCCACCAGCAGUCACGACAGGACAUCCUCCACCCCAAGGCCUCCAUGCCCCCUCCCAGCGCAGCCACUCCCUUCCCAGCCUGGUAAGCAGGGUCUGUGACUGACCCCCUGGUCCACCCCCGUCCACUUCCCGCUGGAAACAGCUCUUACUCCUCUAAUCAUCGGACGUGAUCAUCAUCAGAUCUAACAGUCGGAUCCUGGCAAUUAAAAGUUAGCUAUCAGAAUAGUAAGAGUUGUGCAGUUUGGGAAGGAAGAAAUAAACUGUCUUUGCUCACAGAAGAUAUGCCUGUAUGUGUAGAAAUGCCAAAGACUCAAGAACAACAAUCUCCUGGAACUGACGUGGCUACAGCACGGGCUGCAGGGCUCACACUUAAUGCACAAAAGCCAUCACUUUCCUACACACCAGCGGGAACCACUGAAAUCUGAAAUUAACAACCCAACGCCAUGGGCAUAAGCACCCAAAUAAGGAGAAACGCUGAGACCUAAGACUAAGAAACGUACAAAAUAAAUGUAAGGAAAACCACCUCACUCAUGAAAAGAGUCAGAGAAGACCUGAAUGGAUGCAAAGAUGGUCCACGUUCCUGGGGAGGUGACUCAAUGUUGACCAGAUGUCUGUUCUUCCCAACUUGACCUAUAGAUUCAAUGCAGUCCAACCAGAUUCAAGCAAGUUGGUUUGUGGCUAUCGACAGAAUGAUUCUGAAGUUUCUAUGGAGAGAAGCCACGUGCCCUGAGGGGCCAGCACAGUAUUGAAGGAGGAGAACAGAGUGGAGGGCCUGACACUCGGGGGUCUUAACUUAUCAUAAAGCUGCCGUGACCAUGGGGGGGCGGGUUGUUGGUGAAAUAAUGGGCAAGUAGAGCAAUGGGACAGAGCAGAAAGCCAAGAACAGACCCCAUAAAUACAGUCACUUGAUCUUUGACAGAGGCGCAGGGGCAGCACAACAGAGAAAGGACAGUCCCUUUAGCCACGGGAGCUGGAAUAACUGGAUAGCUUCUUACAAAAGUAAAGCUAGACACAGACCUCACACCCAGCACAGAAUUAACUCAAAAUGGAUCACAGACCUAAAUGUGAAACGCAAAAUUACAAACUCCAAGCAGAUGGCAUAGGAUAAAACCCAGAUGACCGUGGGUAUUGGGAUGUCUUUGUAGCUACACCAUCAAAAGGGCUCUUGGUCACGGAGGCCCAUGAGUGGCUGUGGAUGACAGAAGCCAUCACAGGCCAGGCAGCUGGUCGACCAGACCAUUUCAGGCGGAACAGGAGGUGGUGCAGAUAAACCGUGAGGGUCUGGUGGCAGGUGCAUCUGCAGGCAGGACAGCCUGGGAGAGGCCAUGACAGAGGGAAAACCAGAGCCGGGAAGCGGUGAUGGAGCCAGGAGGGCUCUGCUCACACCAGGUCUGGAGAGCAGUUCUUCCCUCAGGGGCUCGGGGACCAAGGCUGCUCUUCCCCAGGAACAUUCCCCGCACUGACCUCCCAGGGGAGCGCGUUGCAGGUAGAUCGCAGGCAAAGAGGUAAAUUAUUGCCCUCCCUCCAAAAGAGGGGACAGGCGAUUGAGGGGCUUCCAGGCCGGCCUGGGAGACAUGCCCAGGGUCGGGGGUUGUCUUGUGCCCUUCCUGGCCCGGCAAACAGAAAGCUCAGUGACUUCAGAGAGACCGGGUUCUUUAACCCGUGUGUUCAGAAAGCGUCCGUCUUCCUGUGGGGCUGAAACCCACAUCCCAGAAGGGCAGAGAGGGCAGAGGAAUAACCUUACACUUAGUGCCAGCGGCUGAGCCCCACCUGGCAUUGGCCUCCGGGCCUGAAUAGAGGGAUCGCGACUUUAUUUGCUGAGAAGAACUCCGACUGCCCAUCCCAUUCCGCAGGAGGCGCGGCCCACAGCUCAUUGUUUGAAAGGACUUCAGCCCAGAGAAGGCGGGGAUUGCAGAGACAGACGCGCAUUUUCCGCAGAGUAACUUAUUUUGGAAGAGCUCGCUUUUAUUCUCGGGGGAGGAAAUGGACGCACUGCCCUCUGAUGCUCCUUGCAGGGAUGAUACCAGCACAGUGUCUUCCAAACGCGCCUCCGUGCUCAGGCUCACAGCUUAGUGCCAGCGUCUGGGGAUCCUGAAGCUUCUCGCGCGUUUCCACGGCAGGGAAGUGUUCUGAAUACAGGUUAUAUUUACAGUGAUCCCUGAA